GACGAACGCUGGCGGCGUGCUUAACACAUGCAAGUCGAACGGAAAGGCCCUGCUUUUGUGGGUUGCUCGAGUGGCGAACGGGUGAGUAACACGGGAUUAACCUGCCCUUGCCUUUGGGAUAACUUCGGGAAACUGGGGCUAAUACCGGAUAGGAGCUCCUGCUGCAUGGUGGGGGUUGGAAAGUUUCGGCGGUUGGGGAUGGACUCGCGGCUUAUCAGCUUGUUGGUGGGGUAGUGGCUUACCAAGGCUUUGACGGGUAGCCGGCCUGAGAGGGUGACCGGCCACAUUGGGACUGAGAUACGGCCCAGACUCCUACGGGAGGCAGCAGUGGGGAAUAUUGCACAAUGGGCGGAAGCCUGAUGCAGCAACGCCGCGUGCGGGAUGACGGCCUUCGGGUUGUAAACCGCUUUCGCCUGUGACGAAGCGUGAGUGACGGUAAUGGGUAAAGAAGCACCGGCUAACUACGUG
rnacentral:rRNA from 1 species